rnacentral:rRNA from 1 species
GACGAACGCUGGCGGCGUGCUUAACACAUGCAAGUCGAACGGAAAGGGCUGCUUUCCCUUGUGGAUUGCGGGGACUCGAGUGGCGAACGGCUGAGGAACACGUGAGUAAUCUGCCCCCAAGUUGGGUAUAAGCCUGGGAAACUGGGUCUAAUUGACGAAAGGACUGCAGGGUGGUGCCAGGGGUGGUUAACGAUUUUCUAGUGGUAGGGGAUGAGCUCGCGGCGUAUCGGAUUGUUGGUGGGGUAAUGAACUACCAAGGCGGAGACGGGUAGCCGGCCAGGGAGAGUGGACGGCCACAUUGGAACUGAGACACGGCCCAGACUGCGACGCGAGGCAGCAGUCGGGAAUAUUGAGCAGUGGGCGGAAGCCUGCAGCAGGGACGCGGCGUACGGAAUGACGGCGUGCGGGUUGUAAACUCCUUUCGGCCGUGAGGUAGCUACCUGGUUGAAGAGGUGGUGACGGUAGUGGUAGAAGAAGCACCGGCUAACUACGUG